rnacentral:rRNA from 1 species
AAUAACAAUACAAGGCAGUUAAAAUGCUUUGUAAUUGGAAUGAUAGAAAUUUAAACACUUUUUAAAGUAUCAAUUGGAGGGCAAGUCUGGUGCCAGCAGCCGCGGUAAUUCCAGCUCCAAUAGCGUAUAUUAAAAUUGUUGCAGUUAAAAAGCUCGUAGUUGAAUUUCUGUUAAAAAUAACCGGUCUGCUUUUAAUAAAAGUGGUAUCUUGGUGUGUUUUUAGCAAUAAUGUCCUUUGAAAUGUUUUUUACUUUAUUGUAAUAAAUAAUAUUCAGGAUUUUUACUUUGAGAAAAUUAGAGUGUUUCUAGCAGGCUAACGCUUUGAAUACUGCAGCAUGGAAUAAUAAAAUAGGAUUUUAGUUCUACAUUAUUGGUUUUAAGAACUAAAUUAAUGAUUGAUAGGGACAGUUGGGGGCAUUUGUAUUUAACUGUCAGAGGUGAAAUUCUUAGAUUUGUUAAAGACAAACUACUGCGAAAGCAUUUGCCAAAGAUGUUUUCUAWAAUCAAGAC